rnacentral:rRNA from 1 species
GAGUUUGAUCCUGGCUCAGGAUGAACGCUAGCGGCAGGCCUAACACAUGCAAGUCGAGGGGUAACAGGAAAGCUUGCUUUUGCUGACGACCGGCGCACGGGUGCGUAACGCGUAUGCAACCUACCUCAUACUGGAGCAUAGCCCUUGGAAACGGGGAUUAAUACUCCAUGGUAUCAUGAAUUCGCAUGUUUUCAUGAUUAAAGAAUUUCGGUAUGAGAUGGGCAUGCGUCCCAUUAGCUAGUUGGUGAGGUAACGGCUCACCAAGGCGACGAUGGGUAGGGGGCCUGAGAGGGUGGUCCCCCACACUGGUACUGAGACACGGACCAGACUCCUACGGGAGGCAGCAGUGAGGAAUAUUGGUCAAUGGAGGCAACUCUGAACCAGCCAUGCCGCGUGAAGGAUGACGGCCCUAUGGGUUGUAAACUUCUUUUAUAUGGGAAGAAACUUAUCUACGUGUAGAUAACUGACGGUACCAUACGAAUAAGGAUCGGCUAACUCCGUGCCAGCAGCCGCGGUAAUACGGAGGAUCCAAGCGUUAUCCGGAUUCAUUGGGUUUAAAGGGUCCGUAGGCGGAUUUUUAAGUCAGUGGUGAAAGCCGACAGCUCAACUGUCGAACUGCCAUUGAUACUGGAAAUCUUGAGUACAAAUGAAGUAGGCGGAAUGAGUCAUGUAGCGGUGAAAUGCAUAGAUAUGACUCAGAACACCAAUUGCGAAGGCAGCUUACUAACAUGUAACUGACGCUGAGGGACGAAAGCGUGGGGAGCGAACAGGAUUAGAUACCCUGGUAGUCCAUGCCGUAAACGAUCAUCACUCGCUGUUGGCGAUAUACAGUCAGCGGCCAAGCGAAAGUAUUA